AGAGCAGUGCGCUGUCCGCUUUGUAAGCGGAUGAUUCUGGGUUCAAUUCCCAUCUGCUCCA
rnacentral:tRNA from 1 species